rnacentral:rRNA from 1 species
UACGGGGGGGGCAAGCGUUGUUCGGAAUUACUGGGCGUAAAGGGCUCGUAGGUGGCCAACUAAGUCAGACGUGAAAUCCCUCGGCUUAACCGGGGAACUGCGUCUGAUACUGGAUGGCUUGAGUUCGGGAGAGGGAUGCGGAAUUCCAGGUGUAGCGGUGAAAUGCGUAGAUAUCUGGAGGAACACCGGUGGCGAAGGCGGCAUCCUGGACCGACACUGACACUGAGGCGCGAAAGCGUGGGGAGCAAACAGG